UGACACAGGGAGGUAGUGACGAGAAAUAACAAUGCUGGGCUCUUGAGUCUAGCAAUUGGAAUGAGAACAAUUUAAAUCCCUUAUCGAGGAUCCAUUGGAGGGCAAGUCUGGUGCCAGCAGCCGCGGUAAUUCCAGCUCCAAUAGCGUAUAUUAAAGUUGUUGCAGUUAAAAAGCUCGUAGUUGGAUUUCGGGCGCGUGCGCAUGGUCCGCCGAAAGGUGUGCACCGUGACUGUGCGCGUCCUCUUUCCGUAGGCCGCGUGUGCCCUUAACUGGGUGUGCGUGGAAUGCGGAUCUUUUACUUUGAGUAAAUUAGAGUGUUCAAAGCAGGCUUUCGCUUGAAUACAUUAGCAUGGAAUAAUGGAAUAGGACUUUGGUUCUAUUUUGUUGGUUUCUAGGACUGAAGUAAUGAUUAAUAGGGAUAGUUGGGGGCAUUAAUAUUUAAUUGUCAGAGGUGAAAUUCUUGGAUUUAUGAAAGAUUAACUUCUGCGAAAGCAUUUGCCAAGGAUGUUUUCAUUAAUCAAGAACGAAAGUUAAGGGAUCGAAGAUGUUUAGAUACCGUCGUAGUCUUAACCAUAAACUAUGCCGACUAGGGAUUGGGGGAUGCUAUUCAUGGCGCCCUCAGCACCUUAUGAGAAAUCAAAGUCUUUGGGUUCCGGGGGGAGUAUGGUCGCAAGGCUGAAACUUAAAGGAAUUGACGGAAGGGCACCACCAGGCGUGGAGCCUG
rnacentral:rRNA from 1 species